UACGUAGGGCGCAAGCGUUAUCCGGAAUUAUUGGGCGUAAAGAGCUCGUAGGCGGUUUGUCGCGUCUGCCGUGAAAAGUCCGGGGCUCAACUCCGGAUCUGCGGUGGGUACGGGCAGACUAGAGUGGUGUAGGGGAGACUGGAAUUCCUGGUGUAGCGGUGAAAUGCGCAGAUAUCAGGAGGAACACCGAUGGCGAAGGCAGGUCUCUGGGCAUUAACUGACGCUGAGGAGCGAAAGCAUGGGGAGCGAACAGG
rnacentral:rRNA from 1 species